rnacentral:snRNA from 1 species
AGGUAAGAGGACACUCUGUCUGUGACUCUUUCACUCCAGUGAUCGUUACAGUUGACUCAGCUGACUUGGUCAGUCAACAGAUGUCCCCUCUGUCCCUCAUCACUCCACAUCCAUCUCUCUAACCUUGCGGUUUUCUUUCUUUGUUUUUAAAUGCCCUUUCCAGACAGAGAGGAAUCAUUCCAAUAUUAAGGAUGAGAGUGUCUGUGGCACUUAAAGAUGGCCAGGAAUUCUUUCCUCCUUCUUCCAUUGAGAGAUGGGAUCUAAUUCUCCUCCCUUUAAU